rnacentral:rRNA from 1 species
GAUGAACGCUGGCGGCGUGCUUAACACAUGCAAGUCGAACGAUUAAAGCCCCUUCGGGGGUGUAUAGAGUGGCGAACGGGUGAGUAACACGUGGGCAACCUGCCCCUCACUUCGGGAUAACUCAGGGAAACCUGAGCUAAUACCGGAUACUCCGGGAUGGUCGCAUGGCCGACCCGGGAAAGUUCCGGCGGUGAGGGAUGGGCCCGCGGCCCAUUAGCUUGUUGGUGAGGUAACGGCUCACCAAGGCGACGAUGGGUAGCCGAGCUGAGAGGCUGAUCGGCCACACUGGGACUGAGACACGGCCCAGACUCCUACGGGAGGCAGCAGUGGGGAAUCUUGCGCAAUGGGCGAAAGCCUGACGCAGCAACGCCGCGUGCGGGAUGAAGGCCUUCGGGUUGUAAACCGCUUUCAGCAGGGACGAAAAUGACUGUACCUGCAGAAGAAGCCCCGGCUAACUACGUGCCAGUCGCCGCAGUAAAAC